GAGAGACUUACAUCUGAAUCUGUAAUGCAGACUGCAUGUAAGUAUGUGCUUACCGACAUGCCACGUUCCCUGCUGAAUACAGGUAGACUUAUUCACAGGUUUCUAAUUAAGCAUUUGUCUAAGUGUUCUCUCGAAUGGGUGUGAAAUAAAGUUCAAUUAUUUCAAGUUCCUUGGCUUUUUUUUUUAUGUUGUUGUUGUUGUUGUCGUCCUUCCUUCCUUCCUUCCUUCCUUCCUUCCUUCCUUCCUUCCUUCCUUCCUUCCUUCCUUCCUUCCUUCCUUCCUUCCUUCCUUCCUUCCUUCCUUCCUUCCUUCCUUCCUUCCUUCCCUCCUUCCUUCCCUCCUUCCUUCCUUGUUUCCUUCCUUGUUUCCUUCCUUGUUUCCCUCCUUCCUUCCCUCUGUGCUCUCCUCACUCCAUCCCUUCCUCACUCCCUCCCUCACUCCCUUUUUUUUUAAGGCACCAUAGUGGGAUUUCUGCAGAACUUACUCCUUCCCCAAAUUCUUUCUUGUGUAAGUUAUUGUGAUGUGCCAGAUUCCUGAGCACAAUUUCAGUUACUGUGUUAUUUUAUGUAUGGCACUUUCGUAACAGAUUUGGCAGCAAACAAAAGCAAUUCACUGAAUAUUCAUGGUUUCAUAGUGGGUUUUUCUCAAGUACAACAGUUGGCAUUCAGUGACAAUAUAGCAAAUGCAAAACAAGCAUGGAGAAGCUAAAAUACACCCUAGGUUUGAACUAAGCAGAAUCUAGUUCCUGUCUGCACUUCCUGAAUGCUGGGUGAGUUUCUGCUCAUGUAUCGAUGGAACAACCAUCCAUGUAGAUCUAUUACGAGGAUGAUAUGUGUUUGCACAUGGUAACCUAAAGCAGUAAGUAUAGUACGAUCAUCUUGAAAUGUUGUGCUUAUGUGCCUGCCUUUUCAGUAUUUCAGAAGCGUUUGGCAUCUCUGCUUUGUAGCUGGGUAAAUAAAUACAAGUGUUUGGGUUUCCUUGUUUGUUUCUGUUUGAUUGUGUCCAAUCCCGGACACAUGGGAAGUCAUAUUUAAACACUGUGCCAAGGUAUAACUUCAAUCAGUGCCUGGAAUUGAGUUUUUUAUUUUUAUUUUUUUUACAUUUUUUGGAGUUAUUCCUCUCAGAAUGCCACUAGGUCCUUUAUCAACCUCAGGUUGUAUAUCCUAGAUGUGAUCUUCUAACAUACAGAUUGGUUGUUUUCCCACGAGAGAAAACCGAGUUGAGUAAUAAUAUAAAAAUUAUACCACAUUACCUACCAGAACCUCACAAGCAAUGAUGUGUACACCUGUUACGUUUUCUCUUGGCAACAUCAUCUCUCCUUACAAUUACCAUUUAUUCUUUGUAUGGUGCCAUCGGGUCAUGAGGUGCUGUCUUGCAGCUGAUGAAAGCGUGUCGAUUCUGAAGAAUAAAUAGGUGAAAGCCCCAGAGUAAGUUCUCAUUGCUUUUGAGAGGCACCAAUUGCUACUUUUUAAAAUGAGUGUUAUUUCUGUCAAUUUAUCUUCAGUGCACUCCUCUGUUCCAUUCAAGUUCUUUCUGUGGACGCGUUCCCAGAGAACAAAAGUGCUCUGGAACAACAUGAAGUAUUUCUUCCAGCCUUUUGUUGAGAUUUGGAAGUUUUGACAAGACAAGCCAAUCUGAAGAAGUGCAUAAACACUCCCCAUAAAACGCAGAACACACUGAAAGGGCCCUCUGUUGUCAUGAAAUUACAGCGGCAGCGUAAUUAGAAAGGUAGGCAGCAUUGUGAAGAAUUUCAUCAGCUAGCAUCUUUUUUACUGCAAAGGACCAACGAAGUCAUGCAUGUAGCUGUAUUCUUGUGACAUAAACUGUAAAGACUACAUCGUGUUUAACUGAGAGUAACAGGCGCACAUUUAACAAGAAGACAAAGAAGUGUAAAUAUAUUUGAUUAAUAAAACAUUUCUAUUACCCUAUCCUAAGUCUUUGUUUUAUGCUGUGGCAUUCCGUGCGCGCUGUGCAGAAAAAAACGCGUGCUUAAGUGCGUGUGCCUUGAAGGUAGCUUCAAAUAAUCACAGUACUUUGCUGUAGUGCUUAUCCUGAGUUCCCAGAAGGGCUGCAGCUUGGAUGCUGCAAGCUGAUUUGCAGGGAGAAAACGGCUGAGAGCAAUUUCAUUUCUGCUGGUGGCUGAGAGGUAUCGUAAUACUCCUAUUGUUGUAACACUGAGAGCACCGUGCAGUCAUAGGCGCAGACAACUCCUCAACCAUACACUGGAUUUUUGGGGUGUGGGUUUGUGAGGCAAAUCGUGUCCUGCUGUAUCCUGGCUUUCCCAUUCUGCGUGCUGAAGUGCGUAUUUUUACAGUUAACAGCCUACGGUUCACCUCUUUUGCAGUUACCCAAAGCCUGAUUUACAAGGAUCACCAUCUAGUGGACUGAGACAGAAAUUCAAAACUCCAGAUGAUGUGAUACCUGAGCCCAUU
ensembl:lncRNA